ACAAGCCGCUCGACCAUCGGUUCGCUGGAAACAGCGACGAAAAGGGAAUGCGGUGCGGACAGAUAUUGUCCAAAUCCGCGGCUGCCCCCGCAACUGUGAGCGGUGAGCGCUUUGGCCAUUAUGCCACUGAUGCAGAAAUGCAUUGGGAAGGCGGCUGCAAGUGCGAUGACCCGUGAGCCAGGAGACCUGCCGAUGCGAGCAUCGCCUU
rnacentral:ncRNA from 2 species